ACUGUUUUCUAAUAAAAACAUUUUAAAAAAAUCUGUUCUUAUCAGUUUAAUAUCUGAUACGUCCCCCAUCGGGGGACCACAUAUUAAACGGAUUUUUGGAACAGGGAGCUGGAUCANNN
rnacentral:snRNA from 1 species